rnacentral:misc_RNA from 1 species
UUUCCGUAGGUGAACCUGCGGAAGGAUCAUUGUCGAAGCCUGCCUAGCAGAACAACCCGCGAACUUGUAUAAACAACCGGGGGCAGGGGCGAUCUCGCCCCGUGCCCUCGAACGGCAGGGGGACACUCGUGCCUUCUUGUCGAACAACGAACCCCGGCGCGGUCUGCGCCAAGGAACUUCAAUUAAAGAGUGCCUCCGGUCGCCUCGGAAACGAUGCGCGUGUCGGAGGCGAAUCUUGUACAAAACCAUAACGACUCUCGGCAACGGAUAUCUCGGCUCUC